UCAAUGGAGAGUUUGAUCCUGGCUCAGAAUGAACGCUGGCGGCAUGCCUAACACAUGCAAGUCAUACGACGUAAGAUUUAUUUUUAAUAAAUUUUAUUGUAGUGGCGGACGGGUGAGUAACGCGUAAGAACUUACCUCUAGGAAGGGGAUAACAUCUGGGAAACUGGUGCUAAUACCCUAUAUGCUGAGGAGUGAAAAGGUUUAUACCGCCUAGAGAGAGGCUU
rnacentral:rRNA from 1 species